GUCGUUAGCACUGCCGGCGCGCUCGUUCUGACGUCAUCAACAGUCGCCACAAGAAAGCGCAGUAGCGGCGGGAGUUUUCGGAAACAAACGAAGAGUUUUUUUCACAUUUGAAGAGAAACCUCCCGAGCUGCCUGUGGAUCUGUGUGUGACUGUGUUUAUCCACCAUGACUCAGAGAAAGCGGCUGUCACACACACAGAGCUCCUCUCAGAGCAGAAGGCAGUCUGGCAGCUUAGUGGCUCAGGAAGAAGACGAUGACACAACGUUCACUCAGCCGAGCACGUCGCAGGUGCAGAGAGGGCUGGAGAAGCUCACACCUGCACAGGUCGACCAGAAGGUAACGGAAAUAACACGGUGUUAUUCUG